GAUGAAGAACGUAGCGAAAUGCGAUAAGUAAUGUGAAUUGCAGAAUUCAGUGAAUCAUCGAAUCUUUGAACGCACAUUGCGCCCCUUGGUAUUCCGAGGGGCAUGCCUGUUCGAGCGUCAUUAUAACCCCUCAAGCUCAGCUUGGUGUUGGGGCCUGCUGCACUGGCAGCCCUUAAAAUCAGUGGCGGCGCCAUCUGGCUCUAAGCGUAGUAAUUCUUCUCGCUAUGGAGUCCUGGUGGAUGCUUGCCAUCAACCCCCAAUUUUUCUAUGGUUGACCUCGGAUCAGGUAUGGAUACCCGCUGAACUUAAGCAUAUCAAUAAGCGGAGGA
rnacentral:misc_RNA from 1 species